rnacentral:rRNA from 1 species
GACGAACGCUGGCGGCGUGCUUAACACAUGCAAGUCGAACGGAAAGGCCCUGCUUUUGUGGGGUGCUCGAGUGGCGAACGGGUGAGUAACACGUGAGUAACCUGCCCUUGACUUUGGGAUAACUUCAGGAAACUGGGGCUAAUACCGGAUAGGAGCUCCUGCUGCAUGGUGGGGGUUGGAAAGUUUCGGCGGUUGGGGAUGGACUCGCGGCUUAUCAGCUUGUUGGUUGGGUAGUGGCUUACCAAGGCUUUGACGGGUAGCCGACCUGAGAGGGGGACCGGCCACAUUGGGACUGAGAUACGGCCCAGACUCCUACGGGAGGCAGCAGUGGGGAAUAUUGCACAGUGGGCGGAAGCCUGAUGCAGCAACGCCGCGUGCGGGAUGACGGCCUUCGGGUUGUAAACCGCUUUCGCCUGUGACGAAGCGUGAGUGACGGUAAUGGGUAAAGAAGCACCGGCUAACUACGUG